rnacentral:snRNA from 10 species
UAAAAGGGCUUCCGUCGUGACUGGCGCGUGUUACGGGUUUUAACAGCCUGUUUCUCGUGGAAUCGCAAUCAAUAGAUUCCGGAAGCAUCAUUUUUGUAAGUUUGUGGUUGUUGGUUGCCGCUUGCACCGACGCCCGU